ACUUUCUGGGAAAGAAGGAAUAAGAAGCUGGAUUGGCAGAAAGAUCAAUGUGGUUUUCCCUAGAGCUUCCUGGGCAGAGCACAGAAAAGGCUGGAGGUUGCCUAUGGAGAACUACAAAUUGAAGAGUUUCUUAAUCAGUCCACUGUUCACUUGAUUCCCAGACACAGACAACAUGAGUUUAAUUAUCCGGAGACAUUUCAAAGGAUGUUGAUGUUUCAUGAUGGGAAAACGGCUACUUCUACAAAGAAUUGAUCUUUCUGAAUAGAAAGAAGGUCAUUCCUAAGGUCCAUAUUUCAUAUCAUUUCACUUUUCUGCUUCCAAGUAUUUAAAGAAAAAUAGGAGGACCAAAGGUAAUAAUGUAUCAAGCAUUUUCUAGGUAGA
rnacentral:lncRNA from 1 species